CUUUGUCCCCUUUUGCCAAGUGGCUGAAAAGAGCUGGGCCCCCAGCAGUCCAGAAUAAGAGACCCAUCUCUCUCCAUUGGGGAACCGUAGGUCCUUCUGGUCAUAGGAUGUAAGCAGAAGAGAUGUGCACAACUUCCCCGAGAGGGAAGAAGUCACAAGGCAUCAGGGACGGAUGAGGAUCUGGGAGAACGAGACAACAGGCCCUACAGAGAGGAGAUCUUUCGUGGGAAGGGGCUCUUAAGAAGAACUCGGGGACCCUGGCUGAGGUGCAGACAGAGAGACAACCCAGGCAGUGGACCCAGGCAAUGGGCAGGAGCUGACGUGUGCAUGGAAAAAUCUAGAAGGAAGUGGAAGUGACCGAGGAGACCAAAGAAGACUUGACUCCACAGACUGGAAGGGACGGCUGUCGUCACUGUUGCUGUCCUGGUGCUGCGGCACAACCACGGGGAACAAACCCCACAGCCUGACGGCAAGGGCCCUCUGAAGUCCCAGACCAGACACACACACAGGCCGCAGGGGGCUGGUGGCGAUGAUGGGGGUUGCCCGGCGGCGGACCGACCGGUGCAGAGGCACCGUCACUGGUAGAGAAUGCAGUUAGUACUCUCACGACUGCUCACCAGUAACAUUCUAUGAAUAACGUUAGCCAUCAAUAGUCUUCUCUUUUCACCUGGCUCCCCUGGAUGGCUUUCUCGUCCUCCCACGCACACUUUCCGUCUCCAAGCCCUUCUCGCCACUCAGCACUCAUACGUGCCUUUCCUGCUUUAUGCCUGAUUUCGGUGGGGCACACAUCCCUCUCUGUUGUUAUUACAUUUUCCACCUUCCCCGUCCCCUCUCCCCACUUUAGGAAGAAGGGCUCUUCAGGCCUGUUGGAUAAGUAAAUGCAUAAGUUGGGGCACCUGGCUGGCUCAGUCGGUGGAGUGAGUUUGGGUGGCUCGUUGGGUG